AUUGAACGCUGGCGGCAUGCCUUACACAUGCAAGUCGAACGGUAACGGGCCUUCGGGUGCCGACGAGUGGCGAACGGGUGAGUAAUACAUCGGAACGUGCCCGAUCGUGGGGGAUAACGAGGCGAAAGCUUUGCUAAUACCGCAUACGAUCUACGGAUGAAAGCAGGGGACCGCAAGGCCUUGCGCGGACGGAGCGGCCGAUGGCAGAUUAGGUAGUUGGUGGGAUAAAAGCUUACCAAGCCGACGAUCUGUAGCUGGUCUGAGAGGAUGAUCAGCCACACUGGGACUGAGACACGGCCCAGACUCCUACGGGAGGCAGCGGUGGGGAAUUUUGGACAAUGGGCGCAAGCCUGAUCCAGCCAUGCCGCGUGCAGGAUGAAGGCCUUCAGGUUGUAAACUGCUUUUGUACGGAACGAAAAGCCUUCUUCUAAUACAGGAGGGUCAUGACGGUACCGUAAGAAUAAGCACCGGCUAACUACGUGCCAGCAGCCGCCGUAA
rnacentral:rRNA from 1 species